GUCCUGCGUGCGGGCGUGUGUGUGUGUGUGUGUGUGUGUGUGUGUGUGCGUGCGUGCGUGCGUGCUGAUGAGCAAGCACAUGC
rnacentral:miRNA from 1 species